rnacentral:rRNA from 1 species
UACGUAGGGUGCAAGCGUUAAUCGGAAUACUGGCGUAAGCGUGACGCAGCGGUGAUGUAAGACCGAUGUGAAAUCCCCGGGCUUAACCUGGGAACUGCAUUGGUGACUGCAUUGCUGGAGUAUGGCAGAGGGGGGGUGGAAUUCCACGUGUAGCAGUGAAAUGCGUAGAGAUGUGGAGGAACACCGAUGGCGAAGGCAGCCCCCCUGGGCCAAUACUGACGCUCAUGCACGAAAGCGUGGGGGAGCAAACAGG